rfam:Xenopus tropicalis strain Nigerian Chr08_contig_670, whole genome shotgun sequence.
GACCUUCUCUGCCCCUUUCUAGGGGAGCUGUUGUAAGUGCCCCAUCUUGAACAACAGGUGUUUGAAGAUGGUCAGAUACCGUUGUAGUUCUGGCAAUAAAUGAUGCCCACUGCCGAUCUGGCAGCAUUGAUGCCAUGAAGUGCCGAGCAGCAGGGAGUAUGGUUGCAAAGCUGUGACUGAUGGAAGGGCACCACCAGGAGUGGAGUCUUUGACUUAAUUUGACACCACACGGGAAACCUCACCCUGACAUGGAUGAGGAAAUCCCAGUAAGUGUGUCAUAACUCACGUUGAAGUUCUCCCUGCCCUUUGUAUACACCGCCCGUUGUUUCCACCAAUUGUAGGGUUUGUGGGCUCCUUUGUAAGGCUCAGUU